UACGGGGGGAGCAAGCGUUGUUCGGAUUUACUGGGCGUAAAGGGCGCGUAGGCGGCCAGCACAAGUCAGUUGUGAAAUCUCCGAGCUUAACUCGGAAAGGUCAACUGAUACUGUGCGGCUAGAGUGUGGAAGGGGCAACUGGAAUUCUUGGUGUAGCGGUGAAAUGCGUAGAGAUCGGAAAGAACACCAACGGCGAAAGCACUCUGCAGGGCCGACACUGACACUGAGAGACGAAAGCUAGGGGAGCGAAUGGG
rnacentral:rRNA from 1 species